rnacentral:lncRNA from 1 species
UUUUGUUUUGUUUUUUACUAUAUUUGUUACUUGUGUAUCACUACAGGAUGUGAGAAGAAAACUAUAAACUUACGCAUACAAACAGGCACACCACACAGACCAAAGGUCUGGGCAAAUUUCCAAAAGCAUUGUGUUGGGCAGUUCCUUUCCAGCUGUGAAAACAAUCUGAGUCCUGAAAUUCUGCCAUACAAUCACAAGAUAAAAAAUCCCAUAUGACCCUUUUAAGUCUGGAAAUAAAUUGUCUUUAGUAAAUGUAUCCUUCUGUAUUUGUUGGUUGCAUGAAAACAAAAAAGCACUUUUUUCUGAAAUAAGUUUCAAAAAAUCUGUUAAUUUCACUUUAUUCUUUCAGUAGUUCAAGCUGUUUAACAUUGAGCUGUAAGACUGAGCACUUUCUGCGAUCUUCUUUGGCAAUUUACCCUGAUUAGUUGUAUAGCACGUCUGAAAAAAAUUUGAUUACAAAGACACCCUGUUUUCUGUUACGGCUGAUUCUCUGCUGGAAGCUGCAUUGUAUGCAGCUAAUAUUCAAGUUGCUCUUGAAGAUCAAUUGUGAAAUGAAAUAAAAUUUGGACCUAGUUCUAAAAACUGGUCCUUGUAAGCAUAUGCCAUAUAUCUUUUGAAGAAUUACAUAAAGGCUAGAAAAUGCAUUUUAUUUAAAUAUCAGGAAUACAUUUACUUUGAGGGAAAAAAAGUGUAAUACUUUUUGACCAGUUAAGAAACAAUUAUCCCUUUUGUUAAACUUCUUUUAAGCUAUAUACAGCAUAAAAACUUAGCUAUUCAUAAAUCCAAUAUAAUGCAGCAUUGUUACUAACUAUGCUGCACAUAGUUCACAGUCUCAUGCCAGUGUGUCAGGAGCAACUUCAUUUAAUGAUGAAUGACAAGUUACUAAAAGCUGCAAAGUUAGAAUUUUGAAUAACAAUCAUCUAGUCAACUCACAGCUGAUUCAUAAAAUUGGCAAUUUAAGUAUGACCAUAUAUAGCACAUUCAUUGUGAUCUGGCAUUGCUAUCAGCAUGCUCAGCCGAACUUUUGGAAUACUUUGAAUGUUAACAAUGGCAGUGCUGCAAUAUAUAUUAAAGAUUGGCAUGCUGGCACAUAAGCUUGCAAACAGCAGGCUGCAAAUAUCCCAGCUACAAAUUUUAGAAGUCACUUUAUAAAGAAAAAGUGUGGAAAAUAUAGUGCUAACCAGAUGAAAUAGCAGAGUUUUGUGAACAGGGAACUGAAGCCUAGACAAUAAUUGAAACAUAUCCAAAACAGUUUUCCAUGUGCUCUCUCCUUUACUUACCUGCCAUUUUUUGGCCAGAUUUUGAGUCAGUAAUGCAAGGGAAAAUGAAAAUAAAACAUGUACGUUCUGUGGUUCUGAGUAACUGUUGCAUUUUCCUACUCAAAUUUCAUAUCCAGAUUCACAUUUAUGAAACCAGCAAUAGUAACAAAAAAACAUCUUAUGAAACUGACAAGCCACAUCUUCUGCAUUUAUGCUGGGGUACUUCUUGUCAAACUCAGACAAAAACUGCCAUGCUUUGAUGCUUGUUACUCAAGCCAAGUAAAGCACAAGCAGUAAACUUAACAAAAGAAAAAAAAAACACACCACUUCCUUCCUCCUCCUCCUGCGUUAUCAUUGACUUCUUCAUCUGCAUUGCUAAGAGAGAAUUGCUAAAAUCAAGCAUUCAAAACUCAGAUGUCAAACUUGUAAAAUCAUGAGACAGGCUUAAAAAAAACAUGAGUUCUUGAAAAUUAGUAUGUUUUCCUUCUGGUAUGUAGCCAGCAAGAGUCCAUGUUUUCUGCAAGCCUGAAGGCUAAAAACAUCAUUUUAAAAUGAAAGCUGAAAGCUUCAGUUAACUGCCUGGCUCAAGGAGCCAGGGCUUUAAGAAAAACAGAAUACCGUGAGACUCGUGAUGAAAUCAUGAGAGCUGGCUACUCUCUUGAAGCACUCAUAAAAUAACAUCUACUGAACUUUCAGUGUGGUUUACUUUUUGUUUUGUUUUCUUUUGUUUUGUAUUUGGGGGGGGGUGUGUGUUCUUGUUGGGUUGGUUGUUUUUUUUUUUCACCCCAAAAACUUUCAUCUCAGUAAGCUGUUUAUUAGAUGAAAGAAAUUACAUAAAUAACUUUACCUUUGGAAAUCCCCCAUCCCCUCGGCUGGUUGGAAAGAUUUUCUGGCUUACCCAGGUCAUUAACCUUGCUUGAUAAACCUCACACCUUUAUGGCCACGAAAAAAUGUACACAACAUCCCAGCUACCUUUCACAGUAAUUUUCUAUUCUGUUAAGUCUUGGGGUUGCAGUUUCUCUCAAGUAGCACAAGGAGAACAAUACAAAAGCCCCCGCUCCCUGCUCACUUUCUGUCCUUUCUACAUGAUCUGAAACACAAAUGUGGAUU